rnacentral:rRNA from 1 species
GGCCUAAUACAUGCAAGUCGAACGGUGUAGCAAUACAUAGUGGCGCACGGGUGCGUAACACGUAUGCAACCUACCUUAUACUGGGGGAUAGCCUUUGGAAACGGAGAUUAAUACCCCAUAGUACAUUUGAUUGGCAUCAAUUAAAUGUUAAAGAUUUAUCGGUAUAAGCUGGGCAUGCGUCCAAUUAGUUAGUUGGUGAGGUAAUGGCUCACCAAGACUUUGAUUGGUAGGGGAACUGAGAGGUUAAUCCCCCACACUGGCACUGAGAUACGGGCCAGACUCCUACGGGAGGCAGCAGUAGGGAAUAUUGGGCAAUGGAGGCAACUCUGACCCAGCCAUGCCGCGUGCAGGAAGAAGGCGUUAUGCGUUGUUAACUGC